UAUGCACUGUAUGUUACUCUGGGGAAUAAGUUUGACUUCACUGAACCGAACAUGAAGAACAUAAGGAAAUGGUGGUGUGCUGUCCUGCUUGACAAUUUCUCUUUAGAGUAAGUGUUUUUGUGGUGUUUUUAAGAAACCUUUAAAGAAAAGAAAAAAAUUAUUCUUGUUCACUUGUAUGCUGUCAACAGUUAAUUCUGUUCAACAAGUCACUGAACAGAAUGAUACAGUGAAUCACUCAUAAUACUCAGUAAAACUAUAUUCUGCAAACCCUGGGUGAAAGAAGUGUUUCAGAUAAAAAUCAUAAUAAUAAUUAUUAUGAUUGUUCUUGAAAUGUUUGUGCAUGUUAAACAAUAGAUAUAAAGUCAUGCAUAUCUUGGAUGGCAUGGGGAAAGUUUUAAUUCGGGUCAACCCUAGUGCUCAUUGUGGUUUUUGUGCACCCACCAGGUUAAGCUGGGAAGGGCAAGCGAGGUGAGCUUUCAGGAAUUUACAGCAAAGCCAUGCAUCCAGGAUUUUGCAGUGUCCACUGCAUGCAGGAUUAUUGUUCAUAAUUUGUUUCAGAAAUAAAAUAAUUUACCCACCCUGA